rnacentral:tRNA from 5 species
GCCGAGGUGGCGGAAUGGUAGACGCGCUGGUCUCAAACACCAGUAGGGCAACCUGUGCGAGUUCGACUCUCGCCCUCGGCACCA